GAGUUUGAUCCUGGCUCAGGAUGAACGCUGGCGGCGUGCCUAAUACAUGCAAGUCGAGCGAACAGAUAAGGAGCUUGCUCCUUUGACGUUAGCGGCGGACGGGUGAGUAACACGUGGGUAACCUACCUAUAAGACUGGAAUAACUCCGGGAAACCGGGGCUAAUGCCGGAUAAUAUUUAGAACCGCAUGGUUCUAAAGUGAAAGAUGGUUUUACUAUCACUUAUAGAUGGACCCGCGCCGUAUUAGCUAGUUGGUGGGGUAAUGGCUUACCAAGGCAACGAUACGUAGCCGACCUGAGAGGGUGAUCGGCCACACUGGAACUGAGACACGGUCCAGACUCCUACGGGAGGCAGCAGUAGGGAAUCUUCCGCAAUGGGCGAAAGCCUGACGGAGCAACGCCGCGUGAGUGAUGAAGGUCUUCGGAUCGUAAAACUCUGUUAUUAGGGAAGAACAAAUGUGUAAGUAACUGUGCACGUCUUGACGGUACCUAAUCAGAAAGCCACGGCUAACUACGUGCCAGCAGCCGCGGUAAUACGUAGGU
rnacentral:rRNA from 1 species